GCGUGAUAUUGCAUACGCCGCCAUUGUUCACCGAACAAUGUGUUUGGACACCCACGGACACUUUUUGUGAACUAAUGAACGAAGCUCAAGGGAAUAUACAGCAUUGUACAUUUUUGACAAAGUAGUAAUCAUGACACUACAGAUGCCAUUUUUGAAAAAGUAGAGCAAGAUCGGCAUAUCAGUAGUUACGACGUAGCUGAAGAACUGAGAAUUGGCCACAAAACCGUUUUGGCGCAUUUGAAAAAAACUGGGUACAUCACGAGAGGACUGCCAAAACCAACUGUCGCGGUAUUUUUAUCAGAAGCCCCAAAAUUUCUAUAGCAAUGGGAUCAUGUCCCUACCUACAAGAUGGCAAAAAGCUAUCGAACAAAAUGGUUUUCCAGCUUCCAGCGGGCGAACUCGAAAGCUCAAUCAGGAAGAGAAAGUUUGCCAAAAACUGCCCGAAAGCCUGCAGAAGAAAUCUAGCUGCUCAAAGACAAGCUUACGUACCUACCGCCGCCACUUAGAAGAUCCGGCGAAAACCUCAGGGGCUAAAAAUGAUUUUUACCUAUGAAGAAGCGCGUAACCAAAGUCGCUGCCAUUGAUUAGCAUAUCACGACAAACGCCGUCAACUUUGCACUUGUGAUAAUAGUUUACUUUAUCCUCAAUAUCGCCAAGCGAAGCUAUGCAAAAAUCUGAAAUGGUUAAAUUGAUUAAAUGAUUAAAAUGAGUUAAAAGAAUGGACAAGAUAAGGAAUGAGUGUAUCAGAGGAAGUGUGAAAAUAGCCCCGGUAAUUAACAAA